GAUGAAGAACGUAGCGAAAUGCGAUAAGUAGUGUGAAUUACAGAAUUCAGUGAAUCAUCGAAUCUUUGAACGCACAUUGCGCCCCUUGGUAUUCCAUGGGGCAUGCCUGUUCGAGCGUCAUUUGUACCUUCAAGCUCUGCUUGGUGUUGGGUGAUUGUCUAUCUUUGUAGACUCGCCUUAAAGUCAUUGGCAGCCGGCAUAUUGGCCUGGGAGCGCAGCACAAGUCGCGCUUCUUGUCAUGAAUGUUGGCGUCCAGUAAGUCUACAUAUUUUGCUCUUGACCUCGGAUCAGGUAGGGAUACCCGCUGAACUUAAGCAUAUCAAUAAGCGGAGGA
rnacentral:misc_RNA from 1 species